rnacentral:rRNA from 1 species
AUUGAACGCUGGCGGCAGGCCUAACACAUGCAAGUCGAGCGGAUGAAGAGAGCUUGCUCUCUGAUUCAGCGGCGGACGGGUGAGUAAUGCCUAGGAAUCUGCCUGGUAGUGGGGGACAACGUUUCGAAAGGAACGCUAAUACCGCAUACGUCCUACGGGAGAAAGUGGGGGAUCUUCGGACCUCACGCUAUCAGAUGAGCCUAGGUACGAUUAGCUAGUUGGUGAGGUAAAGGCUCACCAAGGCGACGAUCUUUAACUGGUCUGAGAGGAUGAUCAGUCACACUGGAACUGAGACACGGUCCAGACUCCUACGGGAGGCAGCAGUGGGGAAUAUUGGACAAUGGGCGAAAGCCUGAUCCAGCCAUGCCGCGUGUGUGAAGAAGGUCUUCGGAUUGUAAAGCACUUUAAGUUGGGAGGAAGGGCAGUAAGUUAAUACCUUGCUGUUUUGACGUUACCGACAGAAUAAGCACCGGCUAACUUCGUGCCAGCCGCCGCGGUAAUAC